rnacentral:tRNA from 1 species
UCCCAGCUGGCUCAGAGGGUAAAGAACCUGCCUGCCACGCAGGAGGCCCGGUUCGAUCCCUGGGUUGGGAA